rnacentral:lncRNA from 1 species
CCUAAGAAAGAUAUUCAUGCCCUUUUUGAAAGACAAUCAGAUAUAAAGACAUGUCCAGAGAUCAACACUGAUUUAUGUAUUUUUUUUUUAUUUUUUUUUUUUAAUGUUAUAAAAUGCUACAUGUAAAAAGUUCGGUAAGGGCUAGUGGUACCGAAUAACUACCAACAAGGUGAAAGAAGUAGCCUAAAGGGCUCAGGAAGGUUGUAGACAAAAUCUGGAAGGUAAGAAUAAGACAGAAAAAAUGAAACCUGGUCUUAAAUAAUCUGCUUCUUGGGUAAUUAAUGACAUAGACGUAAGUGAACAAUAGUAAUACCCAGGCAGAAAAAUUAGAUAUACACCUUUUAAUUGUAAUAAAGUAUUUAUCAUACAGAAGAACAUAUUGAUUUAGCAUCAUCAGCACAUUGGCUCAACACCACAGUCUUUCUAAAGAAGAGCCCACAAGCACGCUCAGGGGAAUCAACCCCUUCUGACCUUAGGAAGCAAGUGUUACGUUUCCCUUCUACACAUGCCUGAACAGGACCGGAGUUGUUAGAGGCUUCCCUCCAGUCCUCAGAUUAAGCUCAACUAGAUUGUCUUUUUAGGUCUAGAAGACUCUGUAUGAUCGGUGCUGCAUGUGAUGCAUGGCAAAAAUAAGAUAAUUAAAAAAAUACUUAGGAUAAAGAAAUUAAUAAGAUGUGGUCACUGGGUUUUUGUCUGUCCCUGUUAUAAAGGCUGCUGCUGAAUUAAAGAAGAGGUGCUUUCAAGAC